rnacentral:rRNA from 2 species
CGCUGGCGGCAGGCUUAACACAUGCAAGUCGAACGNAGGCUUCGGCCUUAGUGGCGCACGGGNGAGUAACACGUGGGAAUAUACCUCUCGGUGGGGAAUAACGUCGGGAAACUGACGCUAAUACCGCAUACGCCCUUAGGGGGAAAGAUUUAUCGCCGAGAGAUUAGCCCGCGUCCGAUUAGCUAGUUGGUGAGGUAAAAGCUCACCAAGGCGACGAUCGGUAGCUGGUCUGAGAGGAUGAUCAGCCACACUGGGACUGAGACACGGCCCAGACUCCUACGGGAGGCAGCAGUGGGGAAUAUUGGACAAUGGGCGCAAGCCUGAUCCAGCCAUGCCGCGUGAGUGAUGAAGGCCUUAGGGUUGUAAAGCUCUUUCGACGGGGACNAUGAUGACGGUACCCGUAGAAGAAGCCCCGGCUAACUUCGUGC